rnacentral:misc_RNA from 1 species
UAUCGAACGCUCGCAAAGGGGAAGAUCGGAGAGGAGUGGAUCACACUCGAGACUGUCGCUGGCGGAUUCGAUUCGCGUCCGCAUGUGCACGUCCUAGCAUUCACUUUUUCCUGUCGACCUUUUUCGAUCUCAUUCACACACACCUGUGCACCCAUCGUAGGUCUUCGCAAGAAGAUCUAUGUCUUUCAUAACACUGCUUCGUAUGGCCAUAGAAUGUAUAAAAACAUAUUACAACUUUCAGCAACGGAUCUCUUGGUUCUCGCAUCGAUGAAGAACGCAGCGAAUUGCGAUAAGUAAUGUGAAUUGCAGAUUUCCAGCGAAUCAUCGAAUCUUUGAACGCACCUUGCGCUCCUCGGUAUUCCGAGGAGCAUGCCCGUUUGAGUGUCAUUAAAUUCUCAACCAUGUCUUGAUCCACUUCGAGCAACAUGGCUUGGAUUUGGGAGUUGCUGGCGACGGAAGGUCGUCGGCUCUCCUUAAAUGCAUUAGCAAAGGGUUCUGCAAAGCAUUCCGACCGGGGACGUGCACGGCCUUUGAUGUGAUAAUGAUCGUCAUCGCUGGAGCGUCAGGGUUUGGACUUGGACUUUCGUAGAAAACGAAGCUCUUUGCUUCCAAUUCGGACCGUCGGUUCUGAAAGGCAAAGGCGGGCUUAUUAGUCUUCGGGCUAGUUAUUAGUCAACCAAGGUUGGCGAAAGCAGCACGAGCGCGAACGGCUAGCUUAAGCUUGGAUCGGCGUUCAUCUUUGAAACUUG